rnacentral:rRNA from 1 species
UCCUACAACCAAAUCACGCUGAACACGCCCGAUCUUGUCAGAUCUCCGGGGUUAAGCGGGAUGAUCCUGGUUUGUCGUUGAACGGGAGACCGCCUGGCAAUAUCAGGUGUUGGAGGUU